AGUGAACGCUGGCGGUAGGCCUAACACAUGCAAGUCGAACGGCAGAAGAGAAAGAGCUCGUUCUUACGGGUGGCGAGGGGUGAGUAGUUGCGAAGAAUCUGGGAAUUUGUGUUGUAGAGCGGGAGAAAGCAGGGACUAUUACGGUAAUAGUGCAUAGGAAGUAAGGGUGGAAGCAGCGGACCUUAGGCUAUCGGAUGAGCGUAUGUCGCGAGGUCGGAUUAGCUAGUUGAAGGGGUAAAGGCCCACCAAGGCGACGAUCCGUAGCUGGUCUGAGAGGAUGAUCAGCCACACUGGAACUGAGACACGGUCCAGACUCCUACGGGAGGCAGCAGUGGGGAAUAUUGGACAAUGGGCGCAAGCCUGAUCCAGCCAUACCGCGUGUGUGAAGAAGGUCUUCGGGUUGUAAAGCACUUUUGUUGGGAAAGAAAAGCAGCAAGUUAAUACCCCGCUGUUCUGACGGUACCCAAAGAAUAAGCACCGGCUAACUUCGUG
rnacentral:rRNA from 1 species